UAGGGAAUCUUCGGCAAUGGACGAAAGUCUGACCGAGCAACGCCGCGUGAGUGAAGAAGGUUUUCGGAUCGUAAAACUCUGUUGGUAGAGAAGAACGUUGGUGAGAGUGGAAAGCUCAUCAAGUGACGGUAACUACCCAGAAAGGGACGGCUAACUACGUGCCAGCAGCCGCGGUAAUACGUAGGUCCCGAGCGUUGUCCGGAUUUAUUGGGCGUAAAGCGAGCGCAGGUGGUUUAUUAAGUCUGGUGUAAAAGGCAGUGGCUCAACCAUUGUAUGCAUUGGAAACUGGUAGACUUGAGUGCAGGAGAGGAGAGUGGAAUUCCAUGUGUAGCGGUGAAAUGCGUAGAUAUAUGGAGGAACACCGGUGGCGAAAGCGGCUCUCUGGCCUGUAACUGACACUGAGGCUCGAAAGCGUGGGGAGCAAACAGGAUUAGAUACCCUGGUAGUCCACGCCGUAAACGAUGAGUGCUAGAUGUAGGGAGCUAUAAGUUCUCUGUAUCGCAGCUAACGCAAUAAGCACUCCGCCUGGGGAGUACGACCGCAAGGUUGAAAC
rnacentral:rRNA from 1 species